rnacentral:rRNA from 1 species
CCUACGGGAGGUAGCAGUGAGGAAUAUUGGUCAAUGGACGAGAGUCUGAACCAGCCAAGUAGCGUGAAGGAUGACUGCCCUAUGGGUUGUAAACUUCUUUUAUAUGGGAAUAAAACGUUCCACGUGUGGGAUUUUGUAUGUACCAUAUGAAUAAGGAUCGGCUAACUCCGUGCCAGCAGCCGCGGUAAUACGGAGGAUCCGAGCGUUAUUCGGAUUUAUUGGGUUUAAAGGGAGCGUAGGUGGAUUGUUAAGUCAGUUGUGAAAGUUUGCGGCUCAACCGUAAAAUUGCAGUUGAAACUGGCAGUCUUGAGUACAGUAGAGGUGGGCGGAAUUCGUGGUGUAGCGGUGAAAUGCUUAGAUAUCACGAAGAACUCCGAUUGCGAAGGCAGUUCACUGGACUGCAACUGACACUGAGGCUCGAAAGUGUGGGUAUCAAACAGGAUUAGAUACCCCAGUAGUC